CGAUUUGACCUCCGCCAUUACAACACAAGUGUUUACAGAUCUGGUUCCUGGUAGAAGUUACCAGGCAUCUGUAACAGCGCACAGUGGCAGUUACUCCCAACCAUCAGCCAUCACCACUGCCAGGACCUUUCCUCCAACAGUCAAUGUCACCAUCAUCCCCAUAAACUCUACAGCCAUGACGGUCUCAUGGGCACCUUUUAUUGCUGUAGACGUUGACUACUACACGGUUUACUUGAAUGAAACCAAUAACCCAACAGCAGUGAAGAGCUCCGAUUUGUCCUCCACCAUUACAACACAAGUGUUUACAGAUCUGGUUCCUGGUAGAAGUUACCAGGCAUCUGUAACAGCGCGCAGUGGCAAUGGCUUCCAACCAUCAGCCAUCGUCACUGCCAGGACCUUGGCUCCAAAAGUCAAUGUCACCAUCAGCGCCAGCAACUCUACAGCCAUGAAUGUCUCAUGGGCACCUAAUUUUACUGUAGACGUUGACUACUACAUGGUCUACUUGAAUGCAUCUAAAAAUGUAAAAGAAGUGAAGAGCUUCAAUUUGACCUCCACCCAAACAUCACAAGUGUUUACAGAUCUGGUUCCUGGUAGAAGUUACCAGGCAUCUGUAACAGCGCAGAGUGGCAAUGGCUCCCAACCAUCAGACAGCGCCACUGC